UAGCUAGUUGGUGAGGUAACGGCUUACCAAGGCGACGAUCUGUAGCGGGUCUGAGAGGAUGAUCCGCCACACUGGAACUGAGACACGGUCCAGACUCCUACGGGAGGCAGCAGUGGGGAAUUUUGGACAAUGGGGGCAACCCUGAUCCAGCCAUGCCGCGUGAGUGAAGAAGGCCUUCGGGUUGUAAAGCUCUUUCGGCCGGGAAGAAAUCGCAUGGGCCAAUACCCUGUGUGGAUGACGGUACCGGAAUAAGAAGCACCGGCUAACUACGUGCCAGCAGCCGCGGUAAUACGUAGGGUGCGAGCGUUAAUCGGAAUUACUGGGCGUAAAGCGUGCGCAGGCGGUUUUGUAAGACAGGCGUGAAAUCCCCGGGCUCAACCUGGGAACUGCGUUUGUGACUGCAAGGCUAGAGUACGGCAGAGGGGGGUGGAAUUCCACGUGUAGCAGUGAAAUGCGUAGAGAUGUGGAGGAACACCAAUGGCGAAGGCAGCCCCCUGGGUCGAUACUGACGCUCAUGCACGAAAGCGUGGGUAGCAAACAGGAUUAGAUACCCUGGUAGUCCACGCCCUAAACUAUGUCAACUAGGUGUUGGGUGGGUAAAACCAUUUAGUACCGUAGCUAACGCGUGAAGUUGACCGCCUGGGGAGUACGGCCGCAAGGUUAAAACUCAAAGGAGUUGACGGGGACCCGCACAAGCGGUGGAUGAUGUGGAUUAAUUCGAUGCAACGCGAAGAACCUUACCUGGGCUUGACAUGUGACUGGAUGCUGGGCGAAAGCCCGGAGGCCUUCGAGGCUGUCACACAGGUGCUGCAUGGCUGUCGUCAGCUCGUGCCGUGAGGUGUUGGGUUAAGUCCCGCAACGAGCGCAACCCCUGUGGCUAGUUGCCAUUCCGAAAGGAGGCACUCUAGCCAGACUGCCUGUGAUAAGCAGGAGGAAGGUGGGGAUGACGUCAAGUCAGUAUGGUCCUUAUGUCCAGGGCUGCACACGUGCUACAAUGAUCGGUACAGAAGGAUGCAAAGCCGCGAGGUGGAGCUAAUCCCCAAAACCGAUCUCAGUUCAGAUUGCAGUCUGCAACUCGACUGCAUGAAGCUGGAAUCGCUAGUAAUGGCGCAUCAGCUACGGCGCCGUGAAUACGUUCCCGGGCCUUGUACACACCGCCCGUCACAUCACGAAAGUCGAUUGCACCCGAAAUGGCUGAUGCAACCCGCAAGGGAGCUAGGUCCCUAAGGUGUGGUUGGUGAUUGGGAUGAAGUCGUAACAAGGUAGCCGUAGGGGAACCUGCGGCUG
rnacentral:rRNA from 1 species